rnacentral:rRNA from 1 species
UACGUAGGGGGCAAGCGUUGUCCGGAAUCAUUGGGCGUAAAGCGCGUGUAGGCGGCCCGGUAAGUCCGCUGUGAAAGUCGGGGGCUCAACCCUCGAAUGCCGGUGGAUACUGUCGGGCUAGAGUGCUGUAGGGGAGACUGGAAUUCCUGGUGUAGCGGUGAAAUGCGCAGAUAUCAGGAGGAACACCGGUGGCGAAGGCGGGUCGUCG